CUUACAUAUAAAAUGCCGCAUUGAAAUAUCUUGUUUUGUGUUUGAGUCAUUAAAUUUGGCCAGAAAAGUUGAACUUGACGGUCACCAAUCCGAUGAAACAAACUCUGGGGAAGGUGAAAACUCAAAUGGAGGAACUUCAAAUGUAGGAAAUAGUGAAGAUGAUCAAGCUCGCGAAAUCGAACUUCUUUUACAAACGAGCAAAUAGAUAAUUUAGAAAAAGAAUUUGAACGUACACAUUACCCAGAUGUUUUUGCGAGAGAUUGGCUGGUAAGAUUGGCUUACCAGAAGCAAGAAUUCAAGUUUGGUUUUCAAACCGACGCGCUAAAUGGCGUCGUGAAGAAAAACUGCGAAAUCAGAGGAGAACUCCAAAUUCAACUUGUGCUAGCGGAACUUCAUCUACAACUUCAACUACAGUAUCGGCAACUAAUAGUCCAACUAAUA